AAGUGCUUGCAUGCAAGCGACGCGUGAGCCCGACGACGAUCGACAGCAACGCUGCGAGUAGUUCCAUCGAUGGAUCAAUUUCAUAGCUAGUAGUGCGACGAGAUCGACAAGGCCGAGCAAUGAGCAGUGGCAGACAUCGCCUUAAGUAGCCAUCAUUUAGCUACCAAACGUCGUGCUUCCUUCUAUUCCGAAAUAGUUUUUUUUUCUCGACUCUGAGUUUAGGACAAAUUUUUUUACGGUUUUGCUAUUUUUUAGGUGACUGAGAAAUAACUAUUUUUUCGUCGACGAUAACAAUCUUUUGAUUUAAACAUUGAGAUUCGUGUAAGAUUAAUAUAUAUCUGAUGGACAAGAAGAUUUUCAUUUGAUGGCUACGAUUGUCGACUGACAAAUAGACACUCCCAAAACUUAAUGUUUACGGCGUAGAAUUAAGUCGGUAGAAAAAAAAAUUAAGGAUAAGGAAUUUUCUACACAGGAUCCUUGUAGGAAAAAUAAAAUAG
rnacentral:lncRNA from 1 species